GAGUGGCGCACGGGUGAGUAACACGUAGGUAAUCUACCUUUGGGUGGGGAAUAACAGCCGGAAACGGCUGCUAAUACCGCAUAAUGCAGACAUCGAGACAGUUGUUAAAGCGGGGGAUCGCAAGACCUCGCGCCUAAAGAGGAGCCUGCGGCGGAUUAGCUAGUUGGUAAGGUAAUGGCUUACCAAGGCAUCGAUCCGUAGCCGGCCUGAGAGGGCGGUCGGCCACACUGACACUGACAUACGGGUCAGACUCCUACGGGAGGCAGCAGUCGGGAAUUUUGGGCAAUGGGCGCAAGCCUGACCCAGCAACGCCGCGUGAAGGAUGAAAUCCCUCGGGAUGUAAACUUCGCAAGAACAGGAAGAAUAAGUAGGGGACAAUACCCCCUAUGAUGACGGUACUGUUUGUAAGCUCCGGCUAACUCCGUGCCAGCAGCCGCGGUAAUACGGGGGGAGCAAGCGUUGUUCGGAUUUACUGGGCGUAAAGGGCGCGUAGGCGGUCGCGACAAGUCACUUGUGAAAUCUCCGGGCUUAACUCGGAAAGGUCAAGUGAUACUGUCGGACUAGAGUGCAGAAGGGGCAACUGGAAUUCUCGGUGUAGCGGUGAAAUGCGUAGAUAUCGAGAGAAACACCUGCGGCGAAGGCGGGUUGCUGGGCUGACAC
rnacentral:rRNA from 1 species